UAGGGAAUCUUCCACAAUGGGCGCAGCCUGAUGGAGCAACACCGCGUGAGUGAAGAAGGGUUUCGGCUCGUAAAACACUGUUGUAAGAGAAGAAUGACAUUGAGAGUAACUGUUCAAUGUGUGACGGUAUCUUACCAGAAAGGAACGGCUAAAUACGUGCCAC
rnacentral:rRNA from 1 species